rnacentral:lncRNA from 1 species
CAGGCUUCGGGAUCUCAGGACCAUGAGAGGCUUUACGGAUUUUGGACUUUGGGCUUCCGGCUUCGGAAUUCGGGCGUUGGGGCCUUUUAAAGGCCUUUUGGGGCUUUCGGGCAUUUGGGGCUUUCGGCGUAGGGUUUAGGGUUUAGGGUUUUAGGGGCUUAGGGCUUAGGGCUUUAGGGCUUUAGGGCGGCUAAGGGCUCUUUAGGGUUUUAGGGUUUCGGGUUUAGGGUAUGGGUUUAGGGUUUAGGGUUUAGGGUUUUAGGGUUUUAGGGUUUUAGAGUUUAGGGUUUAGGGUUUAGGGUUUAGGGUUUAGGGUUUAGGGUUUAGGGUUUAGGGUUUAGGGUUUAGGGUUUAGGGUUUAGGGUUAAGGGUUUAAGGGUUUAAGGGUUUAAGGGUUUAGGGUUUAGGGUUUAGGGUUUAGGGUUUAGGGUUUAGGGUUUAGGGUUUAGGGUUUAGGGUUUAGGGUUUAGGGUUAAGGGUUUAGGGUUU